UAGCGGAGGGUGCGAGCGUUAAUCGGAAUUACUGGGCGUAAAGCGCACGUAGGCGGUCAGGCAAGUCGGGUGUGAAAGCCCUGGGCUCAACCUGGGAAUUGCAUUCGAAAACUAUCUGACUCGAGUAUGGGAGAGGGAAGCGGAAUUUCCGGUGUAGCGGUGAAAUGCGUAGAUAUCGGAAGGAACACCAGUGGCGAAGGCGGCUUCCUGGACUAAUACUGACGCUGAGGUGCGAAAGCGUGGGGAGCAAACAGG
rnacentral:rRNA from 1 species